rnacentral:rRNA from 1 species
CAGGGAGACAGGUGGUGCAUGGUUGUCGUCAGCUCGUGUCGUGAGAUGUUGGUUAAGUCCCGCAACGAGCGCAACCCCUACGUUUAGUUGCUAACGCGUGAAGGCGAGCACUCUAGACGAACUGCCGUUGACAAAACGGAGGAAGGUGGGAUGACGUCAAAUCAUCAUGCCCCUUAUGUUCUGGGCUACACACGUGCUACAAUGGCCGGUACAGACGGACGCAAAGCCGCGAGGCGGAGCAAAUCCGAAAAAGCCGGUCUCAGUUCGGAUUGCAGGCUGCAAUUCGCCUGCAUGAAGUCGGAAUCGCUAGUAAUCGCAGGUCAGCAUACUGCGGUGAAUACGUUCCCGGGCCUU